UCUUUUCUUUUGAUAAGAGAGUUUUUAAAACCAGUGUUAUUUAUGUAAGUUUAAGAGAAGUUUAUGUAUUAAAUUAUUGAUAUUAAAUAGGUUUAUUAGGCUUAGACUUAAUUUUAGGUCAUUUUGGGGGUUUAGCUCAGUUGGCUAGAGCAUCGGCUUUGCAAGCCGAGGGUCAAGGGUUCGAGUCCCUUAACCUCCAUUGGGCUUAUGCCCUAAAUUGUAAUUAAGUAUGUUUUUAAGUAACUUUGUUAAAGUAAUUGUUGGAAUGUGAAACACAAGAAGUUAAAAUUUCUGGGUUAAGUUGAGAUCUGUUGAUAUUAAGAAAAAUGUCUAGAAGCAAAAGCAAGCUUUCGAUAAAACCCGAAGUUGUUUCGCUAAAGUGCAAGGAUUAAACAGGAUUGUAUUUUUCAGCAGCCUAUUUUAUAAACGAUCUGCAUUUAGUAAAUAGUUUUUAGUUAGGAAAUAAUGUAGAUUACUAAGUGUGAUGUCUGAGAGAAGGACAAGUAUUGUAGCGAGCUUAAAUCCUUAUUAUCGUUGCCAGUAUUUAGUGGUAGGGAUUCGGAUAAGAUUGCCAGUUAUAAGUUGGAGGAAGGCAAAGAUUGCAUUAAAUCGUUAUCGCUCUUAUGUUUUAGGUUACAAGUUUGCAACAAUAACUCAAAAAAGCCAAGCAAAAUACCAUAAAGCAGAUUUCAGUUUGGAUUUGCCCGACACUCAAUGGCAUGAAGUUGUAAUUGUUAGUAAUCG
rnacentral:misc_RNA from 1 species